GUCCUACGGGAGGCAGCAGUGGGGAUAUUGCACAAUGGGGGGAACCCUGAUGCAGCGACGCCGCGUGGGUGAAGAAGCGCCUCGGCGCGUAAAGCCCUGUCAGCAGGGAAGAAAAUGACGGUACCUGAAGAAGAAGCCCCGGCUAACCACGUGCCAGCAGCCGCGGUAAUACGUAGGGAGCAAGCGUUGUUCGGAAUGACUGGGCGUAAAGGGUGCGUAGGCGGGUGUACAAGGUAGAAGUGAAAUACCCAGGG
rnacentral:rRNA from 1 species